rnacentral:rRNA from 1 species
CGGACGGGUGAGUAAUGUCUGGGAAACUGCCUGAUGGAGGGGGAUAACUACUGGAAACGGUAGCUAAUACCGCAUAACGUCGCAAGACCAAAGAGGGGGACCUUCGGGCCUCUUGCCAUCGGAUGUGCCCAGAUGGGAUUAGCUAGUAGGUGGGUAAUGGCUCACCUAGGCGACGAUCCCUAGCUGGUCUGAGAGGAUGACCAGCCACACUGGAACUGAGACACGGUCCAG